AAAAGGAGUCACUCGAAACCACAAAUUAAAGGAUUCUCCGACAUCAUUUUCAAAAAUCAGGAGCUUUAUGUGGAUUCAUGUCCAUCUGUGAUGGUGAACUGGACUGAAAUGAACAAGUCAGGCUUUAUAUUUUUUCCGUGUGUCAAUGAAAUAGUCGUUCUGCAUACAGACCGCGGCUUUCAGCCAAUCAGUGGCCAG